AAGUUAAGACACACCCCCUGUUUACUUCCUUGUUUGCCUACUGCUGCUUUGAACCCUGAUAAAAAAAAAACUGAAAUAGGUCAAAAAUGCUCAUUUUUAUUGUCUAAAAGCCAUGUAACCAAUCAUAAAUAAGUUCAACAUUACUCCUGAUUCUACACAUGUGAAUGCCUGAAGUUUGCUUUUGUAUCCAAUCAACUCUAAACUCACCACAGCUGCUGUUGUCUGCAACUUCUUGCUACCACCUUUCAAGCCCACACGAGGUACGCAGAGAUGAUGACUUUCAGUUACGGUAACCAGAACAAAAGAUCCAACUGACCAAAUGAACCCAGGUGCAGAAGGGUCACGACACUCUUCCCAUUGAACGACAAAAAUCUUCAUCUGUUUCAAGUAAGUGUGGUGGCUAGCUGAAUCCAGAGCCCGUCUUGGGGAGGAGAACAAAUCGGCUCCUUCAUGGCCCAGUGAACCAUCGACUCGGUAACCAGCGGAGUCCGUCAGAUAGAAAAGAUGCAUGGUGCUUUAAACCAUUGCAGGCCUCUGCUCCCCCCCCCCCCCCCCCCCCACCCG